AGUGAUGCUAACCCAGCAGCUAAUUAUACCUGGUACAAGGAGAAUGAAGACUCACUAAAAGCAUCAGGACAGAUCUUCACCAUCACCGAUGUCAGACCUGAACACAGUGGGAAUUAUUACUGUGAAGCCCAGAACAGAAGAGGACAUCAUAACUCAACCUUAUAUCUGACUGUUGGAUCUGGAAAAUCAAUAAUUAAUAUGAAUAUCAUCUGGGUGAUUCUGGUGGUCCUGAUUCUGAUUUCCCUGCUUCUCUUGAGUCUGUGGGCAAGGAAGAAGAAAACUUUGAGCUCCACCACUGGACUGAAUGAACCUGUAGAGACUAUAGAGUUGGACUCUUCUCCUGUGUAUGAAGUCUCAGACUUGCAGGUCGUCACUGCAACACAGACAGAAGACACAGAGGAGCAGGAAGACGUGGAGUAAAGUCCAGUCAGGCUGGAGCAUCAUGAAAAAAAGGCCAAUAUCAGAUUCAUAGUUACAGUUAUGAGAAGUACCUCCCCUAAAUUUUAUCUGAUUUUGUUCUGAUGCAGUUGAACCAGAGGCUGGACUCACCUGAUGGAAGCAGAAAGUAGAGUGUUUUGUCUGAACUAAUGCAAGCUUAGUUUUCUCUGUAGAGUUAGUUAUAUUACAGAUAUUUAGGAUUAGAGCUGUUUUGCAAACUAUUAUUUUAAAUGUGUACAUGCUGUAAUUAAUCACUUUUGAGGAAUCCUGAUUAUCUUCCUGUUCAGUAUACUGUAUAUUUUCACACAUGAAACAUUAUCUCAGUUCUAUCACACUUUGUUGAAUGUCACAUUAUCCAGAUAUUGCAGUGGCUGAUAUACAAUAAACAGACAGCUUCCACAACAACACUGUAGUUGGAAACAUGAUUUCAGUUCCCUCUCACUGCUGCAGAGGGCGACAGUGUGCAAAAAGUUUCA